rnacentral:sRNA from 1 species
AAAAAAACGAAAAAAAAUUGUUUUGAGCUGUGAGAUUUGUUAAGAAAGUUAAAGAUUGAUUGGUUCAAAAUUAGGACUGUAAGUUCAAAAAAGUUGUAUUUAGGCAAAAAAAUUGUUUUGUUUAGUUUGGUAUGAAUGCACGGCUAAAAAUGGGAUAGAGGAGAUGUGUAGGGAUCUAUGGAAUUGGGCAAGCAAUAACCCUUACGGCUACAAUUCCUCCUCCAACGGCUCCUCUUCAUAAUUCUCUUUUUUUUUAGUUUUUAUUAUACUGUUUUCCUUAUUCUGUUAUUCAUAUCAACAAACACAUGAAAAAAGAGAAGGCUGACAAGUACACAAACUUUAGAAGAAAUUGGGGAAAAUUCUUGUACUAUUAAUUUAUCAUA